GACGAACCGUCCAAACGUUAUUCGGAAUUACUGGGCUUAAAGGGUGCGUAGGCGGUGCCGCAAGUCGGGUGUGAAAUCCCUCAGCUCAACUGAGGAACUGCGCCCGAAACUGCGGUGCUGGAGGGAGACAGGGGUGAGCGGAACUGAUGGUGGAGCGGUGAAAUGUGUUGAUAUCAUCAGGAACACCGGUGGCGAAAGCGGCUCACUGGGUCUCUUCUGACGCUGAGGCACGAAAGCUAGGGGAGCAAACGGG
rnacentral:misc_RNA from 1 species